rnacentral:lncRNA from 1 species
AACUGUAACAUUAGGGACAAUUUCAUAUUUUGAUAAGGGGAAACAGUGAAUUACAAGCAAGCCAGCCCCAUCGUUGUUGUUUGCUGUACCUGUUGAUUGCAAAGACACGUUUUCAACAGUGGCUACAUCUGCCAGACGACAGUUUGGAUUUUAAAUGUUUUAUUAUUAAUGCAGAGCUACAUCUGCAUGGGCCCAGACAACCUUUCAAAAACAUUUUACCACUGUAUUUCCAGGGAAUGAUAUAAUGGGCAAAGGAGUUCUUUGUUACUUCUCAACAUCAAUUACAGUAAUGAGGUCCCAUCCAAGGAUGAUGAUAAAGACUGAGGAUCCGCCCCUUCGAGAGCAUGUCAUCAAGGUCACUUGACCAGAGGAGGAAGUGAUCCGUCCACUGCCAUCAUCACCCUGGUUUGCAAGUCAUCAGAAUGAGUUGUGCCCAGAGGGUGUCAUCCCAGUGGAACAGAGGAAUACACUUCAGUGAUGAGACACAGUCAUGCCAUGGCUGGCAUCUUCACAGUCACAUGAUGAUGUUUACACAAUAACAAUGGGCUUCUUGUGUUUUCUGAGGGUUCUUUUAUCCAGGCCAGGUCCACACAGGAUGAACACAUCUUUUACUGUACUUUCGUUAUUGUACUGUACUUGAGCACUGAACGAUGUUCAAUCUUGUAAAAGAUACUUGUGGUAAGCCUCAUUCUUAUUGUAUAAAAUAAUAAAAGGGUGAAAUCUUAAUGCAGUAUAGAGUUUUUGUAUUUGGUAUUUGUUAAUGCUUUCAUGCAACAAUAACACAUAACAGUUGAAAUAUACUGUACCUAACAAGCAAAAGUUGAUGUUAUUUUAAUUAAUUAUAACUCAUAUGACCCCCAU